rnacentral:rRNA from 1 species
AUGGAAAUUAUGCAGAUACCAUCUGAAGGUCUCAAAGGAAGAUAUUUGGGAAUGCCAGCUCAUAUAGGGAAGUCAAAAAUAAGAACAUUCCAGUAUAUCAAGGAGAAGAUUUGGAAUAAAAUUCAGGGGUGGAAGGAAAGAUUGUUAUCGAAAUCUGGAAAGGAAGUACUUAUCAAGGCGGCAGCCCAGGCCAUACCUAUGUACACAAUGUCAUGUUUUGACUUAACAAAAUCAUUUUGCGAGGACCUCAGUUCCAUGAUAUGUGGGUAUUGGUGGAGCCAAAUGGAUAAAGUUAACAAGAUACAUUGGACAAGUUGGGAGAAGCUUUCUAAACCUAAGAGAGUGGGAGGACUUGGCUUCAGAGACCUAAAUCAUUUUAACAUGGCCAUGCUGGCAAGUCAAGCAUGGUGCCUCCUCCAACACCCUUCCUCCCUGUGUGCAAGAGUACUAGCAGCAAAAUACCAUCCAGGAAGCAGUAUAAUUGAAGCAACUCCGAGAAAAGGAAUGUCCUAUGCAUGGCGUAACAUCUUAAAAGGUGUUGAGCUCCUAAAAAAAGGCUUGAUUUGGCGAGUGGGAGAUGGCAGAAGCAUAAAUAUAUGGUCAGAUCCGUGGAUACCGAGAGGUAGUACCAGAAGAGUUACUUCUAUCAGAGGAAGACACAUGGUUUCGAAGGUGGAAGAACUAAUUGAUCCAACCACAAACACUUGGGAUAUGCAGCUCGUGCAGCAGACUUUCUACCCCGAGUACGCCGAGAUAAUUCUACUAAUCCCCAUCCAUGAUAACACUAGUGAUUUCAUCGCUUGGCGUUUUGAUAAGAAAGGAAUUUUCUCGGUAGAAUCAGCUUAUAAGGUGGCUGUGGAUAAUGCUGAACAAGAGUCAUCAUGGGGACAAGCGUCUAGUAGUUCUUGUAACAAUGAAGGGACACAUUUUAACUGGAAAAAACUUUGGGCCCUUCCCCUGCAAGGUAAGAUCUUGCACUUCUUGUGGCGCUUAGCAACAUACAACUUACCAUUAAGAAUGAAACUGAAGCACAGGGGUUUGGAUGUGGAUACUAGAUGCCCAAUUUGUUUUAGAUUUGAGGAGGUUGGAGGACAUUGCUUCCUGAAAUGGAAAGAUGUGAGAAAGGUGUGGGGGAUAGCCCAAAUGGAACAUAUUAGACUGAAAUUGUUGCCAUGCACUAAUCCUCAAUGCCUCCUGGAAGAAGUGUUUAAGCUAAAUGAAGAAGAAUGUCUGAAGGUGUGUACAUUACUUUGGUUAAUUUGGCACCAAAGAAACAAAGCCAAUGUAGGAGAUAAAAUUAAAUCCUCAUUUGAUAUUUUGUCCUCUAUUAGUCACCAUACUUAUGAAUACAGGAAUCUCAAGCCGAGGAGGAUGACCCAAAAGUAA